UGUAGGGGUAAAAUCCGUAGAGAUCAAGAGGAAUACUCAUUGCGAAGGCGACCUACUGGAACAUUACUGACGCUCAUGCACGAAAGCGUGGGGAGCAAACAGGAUUAGAUACCCUGGUAGUCCACGCCCUAAACGAUGAAUGCUAGUUGUUGCCCUGCUUGUCAGGGCAGUAAUGCAGCUAACGCAUUAAGCAUUCCGCCUGGGGAGUACGGUCGCAAGAUUAAAACUCAAAGGAAUAGACGGGGACCCGCACAAGCGGUGGAGCAUGUGGUUUAAUUCGAAGAUACGCGAAGAACCUUACCUAGGCUUGACAUUGAUAGAAUCCUAUAGAGAUAUGGGAGUGCCCUUCGGGGAGCUUGAAAACAGGUGCUGCACGGCUGUCGUCAGCUCGUGUCGUGAGAUGUUGGGUUAAGUCCCGCAACGAGCGCAACCCUCGUCCUUAGUUGCUAGCAGCUCGGCCGAGCACUCUAAGGAGACUGCCUUCGUAAGGAGGAGGAAGGUGAGGACGACGUCAAGUCAUCAUGGCCCUUACGCCUAGGGCUACACACGUGCUACAAUGGGGCAUACAAUGAGGAGCAAUACCGCGAGGUGGAGCAAAUCUCUAAAAUGUCUCUCAGUUCGGAUUGUAGUCUGCAACUCGACUACAUGAAGCUGGAAUCGCUAGUAAUCGCAAAUCAGCAAUGUUGCGGUGAAUACGUUCCCGGGUCUUGUACUCACCGCCCGUCACACCAUGGGAGUUGUAUUCGCCUUAAGUCGGGAUACUAAAUUGGUUACCGCCCACGGCGGAUGCAGCGACUGGGGUGAAGUC
rnacentral:rRNA from 1 species